rnacentral:rRNA from 1 species
UUCUACAGCCAUACUACCCUGAACAAGCCUGAUACCGUCUGAUAUCAGAAGCUAAGCAGGGUCGGGCCUGGUUAGUACUUGGAUGGGAGACCACCUAGGAAGACCAGGAGCUGUAGGCA